CCUACGGGUGGCAGCAGUGAGGAAUAUUGGUCAAUGGACGAGAGUCUGAACCAGCCAAGUAGCGUGAAGGAUGAAUGCCCUAUGGGUUGUAAACCUCUUUUAUAAGGGAAUAAAAUGGGCCACGAGUGGGAUUUUGUAUGUACCAUAUGAAUAAGGAUCGGCUAACUCCGUGCCAGCAGACGCGGUAAUACGGAGGAUCCGAGCGUUAUCCGGAUUUAUUGGGUUUAAAGGGAGCGUAGGUGGAUUUUUAAGGCAGUUGGGAAAGUUUGCGGCUCAACCGUAAAAUGGCAGUUGAAACUGGCAGUCUUGAGUACAGUAGAGGUGGGCGGAAUUCGUGGUGUAGCGGUGAAAUGCUUAGAUAUCGCGAAGAACUCCGAUUGCGAAGGCAGCUCACUGGACUGCAACUGACACUGAGGCUCGAAAGUGUGGGUAUCAAACAGGAUUAGAUACCCCUGUAGUC
rnacentral:rRNA from 1 species